UUUCUUUUUCCAAGCGACUAUGUAAUUGUCAGCCCCGUUAUAGAAAAGGAAAACAAAGAUUCAGACAUGUAUGGCACCAUGAUGUUUCAUUUCACACUGGCUGACAUAUGGACCACAGAGGAGUUCAAUAUACAGGGCAUGCAAGAGGUAAUUCAAAUCGCUAAACACCACAAGGCCAACACAAAAGUAUUCCCCAUUGCUAAACAAAGUGGGAUUAAAACUUGACAGGACUUGAUGUCAGACCAACACUAGCAGGGACGCCAAAGCUUUUAUUUCUGUAGGAGGGCUCCUACGAAUGUAGGGAUUUGGCUUUGGAGAACAGCUUCGCGCGCUUGAGGAGUCC
rnacentral:lncRNA from 1 species